rnacentral:tRNA from 1 species
UCCCAUGUGGUCUAUUGGUUAGGAUUCCUGGCUUUCACCCAGGCGGCCCGGGAUCGAUUCCCGGCAUGGGAA